rnacentral:sRNA from 1 species
GAAUGGUAAGGAAGAAGAGGAAGAAGAAGAAGAUGC